GCGGCUGUGGUGUAGUCUGGUAUCACUUGGGCCUUCCAAGCCCAUAACCCGGGUUCAAAUCCCGGCGGCCGCA
rnacentral:tRNA from 1 species